CCUACGGGAGGCAGCAGUGAGGAAUAUUGGUCAAUGGGCGGGAGCCUGAACCAGCCAAGUCGCGUGAGUGAAGACGGUCCUAUGGAUUGUAAACCUCUUUAGGCGGGGAGCAAUGCCGGGCACGCGUGCCCGGAGGGAGAGUACCCGCAGAAUAAGCAACGGCUAACUACGUGCCAGCAGCCGCGGUAAUACGGAGGAAGCGGGCGUUAUCCGGAUUUAUUGGGUGUAAAGGGUGCGUAGGCGGGUUUUUAAGUCAGCGGUAAAAUGUCCGGGCUCAACCCGGGACGGCCGUUGAAACUGGGGGUCUUGAGUGGGCGAGAAGUAUGCGGAAUGCGGGGUGUAGCGGUGAAAUGCGUAGAUAUUAGGAGGAACACCAGUGGCGAAGGCGGCUUACUGGACUGUAACUGACGUUGAGGCUCGAAAGCGUGGGGAGCAAACAGGAUUAGAUACCCGAGUAGUC
rnacentral:rRNA from 1 species